AGCAGAGCGUGUGAUCGCGGCUGGCCCUUUUGGGUCAGGUGAGGAAAGUCCGGGCUUCGAAGGGCAGGAUGCCGGAUAACGUCCGGCGGAGGUGACUCCCGGGAAAGUGCAGCAGAAAUAUACCGCCCGAAAGGGUAAGGGUGAAAAGGCAGUGUAAGAGACUACCGCCAUCCUGGUAACAGGGUGGGUCCAUGUAAACCCCAUCCGAAGCAAGAUCAGACAGAAAACCAUGCGGCGGCCCGUCGCGUUUUCGGGUAGAUCGCUUGAGGCUGCAGGUAACUGCAGUCCUAGACAGAUGAUCACACUAGACAUAACCCGGCUUACAGCUCUGCUCAU
rnacentral:RNase_P_RNA from 1 species